UUCGCCUGCAUGAAGCCGGAAUUGCUAGUAAUGGCAGGUCAGCAUACUGCCGUGAAUACGUUCCCGGGCCUUGUACACACCGCCCGUCACACCAUGAGAGUUGGGGAUACCCAAAGCCCGUGAGCCAACUUUAAAAGAGGCAGCGGUCUAAGGUAGAAUCAAUGAUUGGGGUGAAGUCGUAACAAGGUAGC
rnacentral:rRNA from 1 species